CAUCAUAUACACAGCAUACCUGGGAACUUUUGGCCUCCGGCUACCCGGAGCCUUCCCUUGCAGGACGCGGCCAGGACUGCACACUGACGUCAGCAGGCGUUACGGUGAUG